UACAGAGGGUGCGAGCGUUAAUCGGAAUUACUGGGCGUAAAGCGCACGUAGGCGGCUUGGUAUGUCGGGUGUGAAAUCCCCGGGCUCAACCUGGGAACUGCAUCCGAAACUGCCUUGCUAGAGUAUGGGAGAGGGAAGUGGAAUUUCCGGUGUAGCGGUGAAAUGCGUAGAUAUCGGAAGGAACAUCAGUGGCGAAGGCGGCAUCCUGGACCGACACUGACGCUGAGGAGCGAAAGCCAGGGGAGCAAACGGG
rnacentral:rRNA from 1 species